rnacentral:misc_RNA from 1 species
UGGCAGCAUCUGAUUAGAACUUUG